AUUGAACGCUGGCGGCAGGCCUAACACAUGCAAGUCGAGCGAGCGGGGGACGGGGGAGUUAUGUCUGGGAAACUGCCUGAGGGGGGGGGAUAAAUACUGGAAACGGGCACUAACACCGCAUACGCUCCAAUGUGCCCAGAUGGGAUUAGCUAGCAGGUGGGGUAACGGCUCACCUAGGCGACGAUCCCUCGCUGGGCUGAGAGGAUGACCAACCACACUGGAACUGAGACACGGUCCAGACUCCUACGGGAGGCAGCAGUGGGGAAUAUUGCACAAUGGGCGCAAGCCUGAUGCAGCCAUGCCGCGUGUGUGAAGAAGGCCUUCGGGUUGUAAAGCACUUUCAGCGGGGAGGCGUUACCCGCAGAAGAAGCACCGGCUAACUCCGUGCCAGCAGCCGCGGUAAUAC
rnacentral:rRNA from 1 species